rnacentral:rRNA from 1 species
CCUACGGGAGGCAGCAGUGGGGAACUUUGGACAAUGGGGGAAACCCUGAUCCAGCCAUCCCGCGUGUGCGAUGAAGGCCUUCGGGUUGUAAAGCACUUUUGGCAGGGAAGAAAAGGCUCUGGUUAAUACCUGGAGCUGCUGACGGUACCUGCAGAAUAAGCACCGGCUAACUACGUGCCAGCAGCCGCGGUAAU